AUGUGUGGUUGGGGAAUUCAUGUGGAGGUCAGAGUGGAAGCAGUGGAUGCUGGGCACAGAGCUGUCAUCUUUGACCGAUUCCGUGGAGUGCAGGACAUUGUGGUAGGGGAAGGGACUCAUUUUCUCAUCCCAUGGGUACAGAAACCAAUUAUCUUUGACUGCCGUUCUCGACCACGUAAUGUGCCAGUCAUCACUGGUAGCAAAGAUUUACAGAAUGUCAACAUCACACUGCGCAUCCUCUUCCGGCCUGUCGCUAGCCAGCUUCCUCGCAUCUUCACCAGCAUCGGAGAGGACUAUGAUGAGCGUGUGCUGCCGUCCAUCACGACCGAGAUCCUCAAGUCAGUGGUGGCUCGUUUUGAUGCUGGAGAACUAAUCACCCAGAGAGAGCUGGUUUCCAGGCAGGUGAGCGAUGACCUUACGGAGCGAGCCGC
rnacentral:sRNA from 1 species